UGGUUUAUUAAUUUUAUUAAUUUUUUAUUAUAUUUAUGGUUUAUUAAUAUUUAUGGUUUAUUAAUUUUUUUACGGUAUAUAUAUUUAUGGUUAUAUAUAUGAGUAUAUAUAUUUUUUAACAUUAUUCAUGGAAACUAAAAAUCGAAUGAAGCGCCGUCGCCUGAAUAAAAGUAUGUUGGAUUUUAUAAUGACGCGAGAUGAAGUUAUAUUAGCAUUAAUGUAAGUCGUGAACUUAAUGCUUCUUAUGAGCAUGAAACACCUUGUGAAGCCCCUGCUAAUAUUCAAGAAGAAAGUGGAGUAACAAAUUUAUCUUUGAGUUAUAAUUAUGAGAAUUUUGAAUGCUUUAAUACACCAACACUAUUGAAAACAGAAACAUUAUCACAAGGUUUGGCAAAGUGGCCGUCAAAAAGUAACAUUACUCAAAGUAAUUUAAAGGAACUUUUGAAUAUUCUCCGAAGGCAUGGUCAUUCAGAGUUGCCAAAAAUUGGAAGAUCCCUUUUAAAAUCCUCUAAAGUUUUUACAGUAGAUAGAAAGUGUGGCGGAACUUAUGCAUAUUUUACCAUUGCUGAUGACUUAAAUUAUUUUUUGAAUACAAAAAAAGAAUUUCAAAAUACUGAAUUAUCUGUUACUGUUAAUGUUGAUGGACUACCUCUUUUUAAAUCUUCUAAUCUUCAACUAUGGCCAAUACUUGGUUUAAUAGAGAACUAUAUUUUUAUAAUUGCACUUUUCUGUGGAAAUGCUAAACCAACCUGCUUAGAUGAUUUUCUUUAUGGUUUUAUCAAAGAAUUUUUUAUUUUUAUCUAAUGAAGGUUUAUACUACGAUAAUAAAAAAAUUAAUGUUUAACUCAAAGCAUUAAUAUGUGAUGCACCUUCUCGUUGUUUUCUUAAAUGUAUACAAGGUCAUACAGGGUAUUACUCUUGUGAACGGUGCCAAAUUCAAGGAUUAUAUGAGGAUAAUAGAGUGGUUUUUAUUGAUGACAACCUAUCAACUCCAAGAUCAACUGAGGAGUUUAAUACCUUUUCGUACACUAUACAUCAGAAAUCUCUUACUCCUUUACCUCAACUUCAAAUAUCUUGUGUUUCCUAUUUUAUUUUAGACUAUAUGCACAUGGUUUGUCUUGGAGUAGUAAGACGCAUACUUACCUUUUUAAAGUCAGGUCCUAAACAUUGUAGACUUUCAAAUACCCAAAUAAAAAAACAUCUGCUAAUCUAUUAAGCUUACGUGGUAUGAUGCCAUCUGAAUUUGCUCGACAACCAUGGUCUCUUUUUGAGUUAGAUCAAUGGAAAGCAACAGAGUUUAGGCAAUUUAUUUUAUACACUGGUCCCUUAGUUUUAAAGGGUGUUGUUAGCAAAGAAAUUUAUAACCACUUUCAAACAUUGCAUGUUGUGAUGGUGAUUCUCUUAAACGAAGAAAAUCAAGUUAGAAAUCAUUAUCUUGAAUUUGCUAAAAAACUAAUAAAUUAUUUUGUUACUAAUUCGAAACAUUUAUAUACAAAAUCAUUCUGUGUUUAUAAUGUUCACUGUGUACUUCAUAUUUGUGAUGAUGUUGUUAGAUUUGAUUGUUCACUAAAUACAAUAUCUUGUUUUCCCUUUGAAAAUUAUAUGCAGACAUUGAAGAAAGCAGUGAAAAAUUCAAAGAGUCCGGUUGUUCAAAUUACAAAACAGUAUCAAAAUUUACAAUAUUUAUUUAAUACAAAAUCUCAAAAACUAAAUACUUGAGUGAAGCUGAAAAAUUCAUGCUUUUACCUAGAAGAAAAUCAAUUUUGUUUUAUUGAUGAGAAAUUACCAUCUGGAUUUUUUAAAUAAGUUGUAACAAGAAGGUUUGGAAAAGUUUCAAAAAGUUUCAAAGAUAUAAGACAGCAAAUCGGAAGAUAUUGUAAAAAUGCUCCAUCGCGGAAAAAUAGAAACUAAAAUUUUUUAUUGUAUGUAUUGUAUGUUAUAUACAUUGUUAUAUAGAAAGAUACUUUAUUAAAAUC